AAUGGAGGAAACUCUGAUGCAGCGAUGCCGCGUGAGUGAAGAAGGCCCUUGGGUUGUAAAGCUCUUUCGUCGGGGAAGAAAAUGACUGUACCCGAAUAAGAAGGUCCGGCUAACUUCGUGCCAGCAGCCGCGGUAAUACGAAGGGACCUAGCGUAGUUCGGAAUUACUGGGCUUAAAGAGUUCGUAGGUGGUUGAAAAAGUUAGUGGUGAAAUCCCAGAGCUUAACUCUGGAACUGCCAUUAAAACUUUUCAGCUAGAGUGUGAUAGAGGAAAGCAGAAUUUCUAGUGUAGAGGUGAAAUUCGUAGAUAUUAGAAAGAAUACCAAUUGCGAAGGCAGCUUUCUGGAUCAUUACUGACACUGAGGAACGAAAGCAUGGGUAGCGAAGAGGAUU
rnacentral:rRNA from 1 species